UACGUAGGGGGCCAGCGUUGUUCGGAAUUACUGGGCGUAAAGGGCGCGUAGGCGGUGCGGUAGGUUCGGCGUGAAAUCUCCCGGCUUAACUGGGAGGGGUCGCCGAAAACGGCCGUGCUGGAGUACCGGAGAGGAGAGUGGAAUUCCCGGUGUAGCGGUGAAAUGCGUAGAGAUCGGGAGGAACACCAGUGGCGAAGGCGGCUCUCUGGACGGUGACUGACGCUGAGGCGCGAAAGCUAGGGGAGCAAACAGG
rnacentral:rRNA from 1 species